rnacentral:rRNA from 1 species
AGCGAACGCUGGCGGCAGGCCUAACACAUGCAAGUCGAACGAACUCUUCGGAGUUAGUGGCGGGCGGGUGAGUAACACGAGGGAACGUGCCUUUAGGUUCGGAAUAACUCAGGGAAACUUGUGCUAAUACCGAAUGUGCCCUUCGGGGGAAAGAUUUAUCGCCUUUAGAGCGGCCCGCGUCUGAUUAGCUUGUUGGUGGGGUAAUGGCCCACCAAGGCGAGGAUCAGUAGCUGGUCUGAGAGGAUGACCAGCCACAUUGGGACUGAGACACGGCCCAAACUCCUACGGGAGGCAGCAGUGGGGAAUCUUGCGCAAUGGGCGAAAGCCUGACGCAGCCAUGCCGCGUGGAUGAUGAAGGUCUUAGGAUUGUAAAAUCCUUUCACCGGUGAAGAUAAUGACUGUAGCCGGAGAAGAGGCCCCGGCUAACUUCGUGCCAGCCGCCGCCGUAACAC